ACAUUAGUUUGCUUGAAAUGAUCAACUAUGCUGAAAGAAAUAAGGAUUUCAUUUUUCAUGCUUAAAUGUAUUUUUCUUCGAUUUGCUGUGAUGCUGGGGUUUCCAUGAAAAUUAUGACUUGAUUUGGUAUGUAUGAUGCAUGAGGAUCACAUUGAUAUGCUUAUCUCUUGUUUCUGGUUAUUUCGAAUUUUUGAGUUCAUGUUGAUGAUGAAGGCAAGCUGCUGUUAUGAACCCUAUUUGUUUUUCCAACACAUUUACAUGGAUUGUGUUUAGGGUAUUUGUUUGACUGUUG
rnacentral:lncRNA from 1 species